rnacentral:lncRNA from 1 species
UGAGAGGGUCGUCUCGGCGCUUUACAGGGACGUCUCGGCUUGUUUGCACUUUUUGCAUGGGGACGACUCCGCUGCCUUGGGGACAACUCCGUUGUUAUAACUCCGAAAAACAUGUCUUCUGGAAUUCUCUGAAAGAGUCGACUCCGCUCUUUCAGGGGACGUCUCCGCUGCCUUAACUCCGAAAAAGACAUCCUCUGGAAAACCCUGAGAGAGCCGACUCCGCUACACUGGGGACGACUCGGAAACUCACUUUUUUAACUUGCGGGGACGACUCCGCGUACUGUGGGGACGGCUCGCGCGUAUCACUUGAAAUCUGCCUUUCUGCCGCCACUCAGAGAGUCGACUCCACUACUGAGAGAGUCGACUCCGACCCUGCGAGACGCCUCGCCAGGUGCCGGGGACGUCUCCAAGUGUGCCAGUUCUUCCGGUUUGUGCCAGAGACGUCUCUGAGACUAUCCGAAGACGUCUCGGCUGUCCCUGAUCUGUUUUCUUCAUCUCAAAAAUUCUUCAAUAAAUCCUUAAAAAUUAUGGAAACUUGCCUAGACAUUUCUUAACAAUAUUCUUAAUAAAACACAUGAAUUUCUCAAUUAAAUUGUUAAGAUAAAUGGAAUUAUACUCUAGUGUUUUGUAUUCAUCAAAACCCAUUAGGGGGUCAACAAAAACUCUUUCUCCACUAUGCAUACUGCCCCGGCCGAGAUCUUAUGAACUCGGUCUUAUAAAUCACAUAGGAUCUCUCCUUAUCUAUCAAGGUCGAUAUAUUCUUUGUAGGUACAUACCCUACUCCUACAGUGAACUUAUUGCAGCCAAUCUACACUGCAUGGACCCAUAUGUCUAGAGAUCAUGUAUACGUGCAGUCAAACUACAAUAACCUCACUGCUAGUAGCCGAAGCACUGCACGUCAAAGGACCAGUCACACUACUGCAACAUCAAGCAAGUCACUGACGAGUGCAUAGACAUCCAAGUGACUUCUUGUCUUGGUCACGCUCAGUACCCUUGUUCUCUAAUAAGCACCUGCACUAUCACUUCAGUGUCCCUACACUAUGGACUCGAGUCUCGUUCAUCCAUAAGGAAAGCGAUGUGUGCACUGAUCGGAUCGAUCACCAUCCUCGUGAUGAUCCAUUGAUCAGGAGCAUUUAGAAAUUAAUCACCAAUGAUGCAUGGCUCAAAUUCUUAACUCUUAAGAAUAUGCAUCAUCAUCUUAUUAAUUCUUGGAUGACUCAUAGACACAUAAACAAUAUGAAUGAAAAAGAUGCCUUUUAUUUAUUCAAUAAUAAAUAGUCAAGUACAAAAUUAUGUCCUAGAAUUAACAAUGUGUCAGCUAGAUUGGCUUCUAGGGCAUACAUCUAACAAUCUCCCACCUGCACUAAAGCCAAUCAGUCAUAUAUCUUAGUCCCAUCUUCUCAAGGUGGGCUUCAGUCUUUUGCUGACUCAACUGCUUAGUGAACGGGUCCGCCACGUUGUCCGCGGAGUCUACUCUCUGCACCUCGACAUACUUCUUCUCAACAUAGUCACGUAUGAGGUGGAAGCGCCGCUCUAUAUGCUUGGACUUCUGAUGAGACCUUGGCUCCUUAGCUAGAGCUAUGGCGCCAUUAUUAUCGCAGUAGAGUGUUAUGGCAUCUGAUGACAUUACAUCCAAUUUUGCAAUGAAUUUCUUGAACCAGAAGCCUUCCUUAGCAGCUUCAGAGGCGGCAAUGUAUUCAGCUUCCAUGGUAGAAUCAGCAAUGAUCGGCUAUUUAGAACUUUUCCAAUUCACCGUACCACCAUUGCACAAGAACACAUAUCCAGAUGUUGACUUUCUAUCAUCGAUAUUAGUCAUGAAGUCUGAAUCGGUGUACCCUUCUACCUUUAACUCUGAUGUUCCUCCAAAGACCAAGAAUAAAUCUUUAGUUCUUCUCAAGUACUUAAGAAUAUUCUUCACAGCUGUCCAGUGUUCUUCACCUGGAUUUGACUAAUACCUGCUAGUGACACUCACAGCAAGUGAUAUAUCAGGUCGUGUACAUAGCAUGGCAUACAUGAGGCUCCCUACUGCCGAUGCAUAAGGGAUUUUGCUCAUGCGUUGAUUCUCUUCAGAUGUGUUGGGGCACAUCUUCUUAGAGAGAUGAAUUCCAUGCCUUAGGGGUAAGAGACCCCUUUUAGAGUUUUCCAUGCUGAAUCUUUUCAGCACUUCCUCUGUGUACAUCUUCUGUGAUAGGCCAAGCAUCCUUUUAGAUCUAUCUCUAUAGACCUUAAUCCCCAAAAUAUAGGAUGCUUCCCCAAGGUCUUUCAUGAAGAAUUCUUUUGACAAUCAGACCUUGACCGAGGUUAGCAUGGAAAUAUCAUUCCCUAUCGGAAGGAUGUCGUCCACGUACAGUACGAGGAACACGAUAGCACUCCCACUAACCUUCUUAUAGACACACGGUUCCUCUUCGUUCUUGAUGAAAUCAAAUGUUUUGAUUGCAUCAUCGAAACGAGUAUUCCAACUUCGAGAUGCUUGCUUUAGUCCAUAAAUGGACCUUUGUGGCUUGCAGACUUGUGAUCUCCAUCACUGGAAGUGAAACCCAAAUGCUGCUCCAUAUAGAUAUCUUCAUCAAGAUAUCCAUUCAGGAAAGCUGUUUUCACAUCCAUCUGCUAAAUUUCAUAAUCAUGAAAUGCUGCAAUGGCAAGCAAUGUUCGGAUGGAUUUCAGCAUGGCUAUAGGUGAAAAGGUGUUGACCCCCUAAUGGAUUUUGAUGAAUACAAAACACUAGAGUAUAAUUCUCCUUAUAUUAACAAUUUACUUGAGCAUUUCAAGUGUUUAACUAAGAAUAUUGUUAAGAAUUGUCAAGGCAUGUUCCCAUAUUUUUCGAGAAUUUAUUGAAGAUUUUUUUGAGAUGAAGAAAACGGAUCAGGGGCAGCCGAGACGUCUCCGGUUUGUUCCAGAGACGUCUCUGGCACGUAGAGGAGAAACUGGCACGUCUGGAGACGUCCCCGGCACCUGCCGAGGUGUCUCGCAGGGUCGGAGUCGACUCCCGGCUUUCUGGAGUCGACUCUCUCAGAGACGGCAGAAAGGCCGAUUUCAGGGGAUGCGCGCGAGUCGUCUCCGAAGGACGCGGAGUCGACUCUCUCAGAGAUUCCAGAGAACUUGUUUUUUUGCUGAGAAAACGUCGGAGUCGUCCCCGAUGUCGCGGAGUCAUCCCCACGCAUAAAGCACAAACAUCCCGAGACGUCCCCAGAAAGCGCCGAGCCGACUCUCUCAGAAAAACAGAAAAACAAGAAAUCGAGCUGUUCUUCUUCGAGUCGUCCCCAGAAAGCGCCGAGUCGACUCCAACAUCGUCAAAAGAAUUUUUUAUACAGCCGAGAUGUCUCUCGUUCAAGCGGAGACGUCUCCGGAACGCCUGGGACGCGACUGACACACUUUUGCAGGUUUGUUUGAAUUUCAAACGGCUAUAUUUUUGUGUCUAACGGAUCUAUUGCUUGUAGGAGUAUAAAAAGGAGCUUUUAAGUGGCUUUAAACAACUUCUCACCAACCAAACAUAAGAUCAUUCAAGAGAGAAGAAAGAGAAAGAGGUUCAAGGGAGUUGGUGCUUUCAAGAGGAGAAAUCAAGUGCAUUCAAGUCUUCUUCAUCUGAUUUCGUGCUCAUCUACUCACUCCCACUCGGCAGUCAAAGCUCGCAUUUAAGCCAACGUGAUCCACAUCGGAAGAACCACCAUCACCCACGCUUUCAACGGCAAAGAGGGUUCUUCCGGUUUUGUUGUUCUUCA